rnacentral:rRNA from 1 species
AUUGAACGCUGGCGGCAUGCCUUACACAUGCAAGUCGAACGGUAACAGGUCUUCGGAUGCUGACGAGUGGCGAACGGGUGAGUAAUACAUCGGAACGUGCCUAGUAGUGGGGGAUAACUACUCGAAAGAGUGGCUAAUACCGCAUGAGAUCUACGGAUGAAAGCAGGGGAUCGCAAGACCUUGUGCUACUAGAGCGGCCGAUGGCAGAUUAGGUAGUUGGUGGGAUAAAAGCUUACCAAGCCGACGAUCUGUAGCUGGUCUGAGAGGACGAUCAGCCACACUGGGAGUGGGAAACGGCCCAGGCUCCUACGGGAGGCGGCAGUGGGGAAUUUUGGACAAUGGCGAAAGCCUGAUCCAGCAAUGCCGCGUGCAGGAUGAAGGCCUUCGGGUUGUAAACUGCUUUUGUACGGAACGAAAAGCCCCGGGUUAAUACCCUGGGGUCAUGACGGUACCGUAAGAAUAAGCACCGGCUAACUACGUGUCAGCAGCCGCCGUAA